UGGCAAGCAGUUAAGUCAAGCAGGUUCCUUUACUCUUAGGAGCCUUCUGUGCAGUGGCUCUAAACACCCCUCCUUGGUAGUGUAGCAGCCUAUUUCUUAUAUGGACUGCCCUAAGGGACCUUGGAGACAAUG